UACGUAGGUGGCAAGCGUUGUUCGGAUUCAUUGGGCGUAAAGCGCGCGUAGGCGGCCCUUCAAGUCUGAUGUGAAAGCCCACGGCUCAACCGUGGAGGGUCAUUGGAAACUGGGGGACUUGAGUGCAGGAGAGAAGAGUGGAAUUCCACGUGUAGCGGUGAAAUGCGUAGAGAUGUGGAGGAACACCAGUGGCGAAGGCGACUCUUUGGCCUGUAACUGACGCUGAGGCGCGAAAGCGUGGGGAGCAAACAGG
rnacentral:rRNA from 1 species